rnacentral:tRNA from 1 species
CCAGCUGGCGGAAUUGGUGGACGCGCCAGCCUCAGGAGUUGGUGUUCGCGAGGACGUGCUGGUUCGAAUCCAGCCUGAC